GUCAAUGAAACAGAAAGCUUUAGGAAGACCAGAAAAAACUCAAAAAACUCAAUGUACUAUAACAGUGAAAACAUAAAAACAGAAAACCACUGUGUGAAAUAAAUGUAGGGAUCAACAAUACAAGGACAAGUGUACACACAAAUACACAUACAAAAGGCUCGAGCAUCCAUAUUGCCUCAAUCUCUAGUGCAUUUUCAAAUUUUAUUAUUUUACUUCCAAAAAUUCAACCCAAUUGGACACUAUUCUACACAGAUUUCAUCUUUUAAAAAAAGCUAAAAAAAACUGCUACUUUCAAGAUCUUGCUACCAAGAUCAAAAUUAAAAUUGCAAAGGAAAUCUAGAAUGAUCCAGCUAAAGUUAACAAGCUAAGUCAGUGGCAUAAUUACAAGGUCCUUGAACUUGUGAACUCCACGGAACAAUCCUUUUGUUUCCAUGAUUUAGAUUUCUAUUCCAUCUAGAUUACAGCAAACAUCAAGGUGUUGCUCAGAGUUCAGGGAAGGUGAGUGGCAAUGGAAUGAGGAUAUCUGAAUAGAAUGACAUGCAGCCUUGGGAUAAUGGAUAAGUAACCACACUCAUAGCAAAAUUUUGUUGACAUUUAUUUAACCUGUUACAUAUGUACAUACAAAAAAAGAAAUACAUCCCUGAAAAGGGAGGUUAAUUGUCACAUCCAAGAUCAAAUUUUCAAUGCUAUUUAAUUUAAAUAAAAAACUAAAAAACAUAUAUGAGACUUCAUGAGUAUGUCUAGAAAUAACGAAAGAGCAUUGAGAGGGGG